AUUCCGGCGGGAGCGGUCCUCCAUAUCGGCCAUCUUGUGCCAAAGUUUGGUAUUAUCCUCCUCCAGCUUUUUCAGUUUGUCUGCCAUCAGGUUAUGAGCUGAGCAGAGAUCAUCUGUCUUGCGUUCGACCUGAUCGGUCCGGUCACCCAACUCCUCCAGUUCUUGGUGAAUACCCGCCAUGGCAGUCGUGAAGUCCUCUCUGAUUGUGGACCUAAGGUCCAUGAGCAUUUGCUUGAGGUAUUCUUUUGAGAAUUGGUUAUCAUCCGAUGUUGGUUGUGAGGGUGUCUCGUUGCAGGGAUCAGAGUCUGGAGACUGAGCUCUGCUGGCGGCGCCAUCUUGGGCCUGUUUCAGCCUAUCCCUUUUGUGGUGGCGGACCGCGUCCGUUAACUUCGUCUGUUUCGAGGGGGACAUGAG